CCACAUAAGUGUGUGUAUGUAUGUGUGUAUAUAUGUAUAUAUACAAAAUGCUCCCGACCUGACUAUAGAAACGUAUUCCUGAUUUCACCAUCCAUACAUGUAUUUUUCUCAACUGGUUUACUGCCUUGGUUUUACAUAUUAUCCACUGAAGGACUUCCAUAAGCCAUCUUAUAUGUCACAAUCACUCUUUUGACAUCACUUGACCAUCAAUAAUCUCAAACUUCCUGUGAUGCAGCUGCCUUCCAGCUACUGCUACUGGGACAAAAGAAUGGUUCUCAGCCAAGUUUCCCCAGGACCUAGCGCUUGUUCUUCAUGAUCUAUACUACCACGGUGAUCUCCAGAUCACCAGUGUCAAAAUGGCCUGGGUUUGUAUGAAGGCACGUUUUUGGACCCCAUCCCAGGCCUGCUAAAUUAUGGAGACAAGGAAUGGACACUGUUUAAAUCACUCACCUCCCCACCCCAGGGAUCCUUCUGCAUCCUGGACUUUGACACUCACUCCUCUAUGACUCUGUUAUCUCACACAAGUAUAUGAAAUAAUAUAUGACCAUUUGGAAUAAAGGCUGCCUAAACAUUAGGGAUAAAAAAGAACUUGAAAACUAAUUAGCAGUGCUUACUACACUCAUCUUCUCAAAAUCCAAGAUGUCAAAAUUAAAGUUUUCUGACUUCAUUACUCCUAA
rnacentral:lncRNA from 1 species